GGCAGCAAUAUUCGUACCUAUCUGACAAGGUGAGCUGGGCAGAUGCGGUUAAGGGCUCGCUGAGACGCGGGGCUCAGGGAGCUACUGCCUCAGAGCCUAGCAAUAAGAGGGACCCUAGAGAUGUGGCAUUAGAAGCAGUACAGCGCGAAAACGCGCAAUUACGCACGAUCGUGCAACAGUUAACUCAAGAAAUCCGCGAGAUUAAACAGUCGAUG
rnacentral:lncRNA from 1 species